rnacentral:rRNA from 1 species
UACGUAGGCAGCGAGCGUUGUUCGGAAUUACUGGGCGUAAAGAGUGUGUAGGCGGUGCUCUAAGUCUGUUGUGAAAUCUCCCGGCUCAACUGGGAGGGUGCGCCGAAUACUGAAUGACUAGAGUACGGGAGAGGAAAGUGGAAUUCCUGGUGUAGCGGUGAAAUGCGUAGAUAUCAGGAGGAACACCGGUGGUGUAGACGGCUUUCUGGACCGUAACUGACGCUGAAACACGAAAGCGUGGGUAGCAAACAGG